CCCUUAGAUGUUCUGGGCUGCACGCGCGCGACAAUGACGUUUGCAACGAGAUUGCGAGGCCGUCAGGUCGAGCUGAUCUUGCAAGCUGCGUCGUGAUAGGGACAGUCGAUUGCAAUUAUUCGACUCGAACGAGGAAUUCCUUGUAAUCGCGCAUCAUCAGUGCGCGCUGAAUACGUCCCUGCCCUUUGUACACACCGCCCGUCGCUCCUACCGAUUUAGUGAUCCGGUGAAUGUUUUGGAUCGGCUUCAAGUUGGUUCGCGCCUCUUGCUUGCUGUGAAAUCAUGUAAACCUUAUUGCUUAGAGGAAGGAGAAGUCGUAACA
rnacentral:rRNA from 1 species